AUUGAACGCUGGCGGCGUGCCUAACACAUGCAAGUCGAUCGGUAACGCGGGGGCAACCCUGGCGACGAGAGGCGGACGGGUGAGCAAUGCUUGGGAAUCUGCCCAUUAGCGGGGGACAACCCGGGGAAACUCGGGCUAAUACCGCAUACGCUCUACGGAGGAAAGCCGGGGACCGCAAGGCCUGGCACUGAUGGAUGAGCCCAAGUCGGAUUAGCUAGUUGGCGGGGUAACGGCCCACCAAGGCGACGAUCCGUAGCUGGUCUGAGAGGACGAUCAGCCACACCGGAACUGAGACACGGUCCGGACUCCUACGGGAGGCAGCAGUGGGGAAUAUUGGACAAUGGGGGAAACCCUGAUCCAGCGACGCCGCGUGGGUGAAGAAGGCCUGCGGGUUGUAAAGCCCUUUCGGUAGGGACGAAAGCUUCCGACCUAACACGUCGGGAGGUUGACUUAACCUACAGAAGAAGCACCGGCUAACUCUGUGCCAGCCGCCGCGGUAACAC
rnacentral:rRNA from 1 species